UACAGAGGUCUCAAGCGUUGUUCGGAUUCAUUGGGCGUAAAGGGUGCGUAGGCGGCGCGGUAAGUCGGGUGUGAAAUCUCGGAGCUUAACUCCGAAACUGCAUUCGAUACUGCCGUGCUUGAGGACUGGAGAGGAGACUGGAAUUUACGGUGUAGCGGUGAAAUGCGUAGAUAUCGUAAGGAAGACCAGUGGCGAGGGCGGGUCUCUGGACAGUUCCUGACACUGAGGCACGAAGGCCAGGGGAGCAAACGGG
rnacentral:rRNA from 1 species